AACGAACGCUGGCGGCAGGCUUAAUACAUGCAAGUCGAACGCCCCUUUCGGGGGGAGUGGCAGACGGGUGAGUAACGCGUGGGAACGUGCCCAAAGGUAGGGAACAACUCCGGGAAACUGGAGCUAAUACCCUAUGUGCCCGAGAGGGGAAAGAUUUAUCGCCUUUGGAUCGGCCCGCGUUGGAUUGGCUAGUUGGGGGGGUAAAGGCCUACCAAGGCGACGAUCCAUAGCUGUUCUGAGAGGAAGAUCAGCCACACUGGGACUGAGACACGGCCCAGCCUCCUACGGGAGGAGGCAGUAGGGAAUCUUGGACAAUGGGCGCAAGCCUGAUCCAGCCAUGCCGCGUGAGUGAUGAAGGCCUUAGGGUUGUAAAACUCUUUCGCAGGUGACGAUAAUGACGGUAACCUGAGAAGAAGCCCCGGCUAACUUCGUGCCAGCCGCCGCCGUAA
rnacentral:rRNA from 1 species